rnacentral:SRP_RNA from 1 species
CCGCACUAGAUGGAGAGUUAGCGGUGCUCUGUAACCUGCAAUCCGCUACAGCAGGAUUGAAUUCCUCAAAGAGGUAUCGGUCUUUUGAGGUCUGCCACAAGAAAGUGGUGUUGACGGUUGGACCCUUCGCAAUAGGAACUUGCGAACCCUGUCAGGUCCGGAAGGAAGCAGCAGUAAGGAAGACCUUCUAUGUGCCGGAGGAUUCUCUGACUUGAGCCAACUCCUUGCGUAACGCUCGGAAGCCGGCUAUCAAUGCGAGGUGUGCGG